rnacentral:rRNA from 1 species
GCUCAAUGAUAUUUAAAUAGCCGCUUUUGUGCUAAGGUAGCAUAAUAAUUUGUCUUUUAAUUAAAGACUAGAACAAAAGACUUUACAUCUCAAUUAAUAUUUUAUAAAAAAUUAUUAAAAUUAUUCUAAUUGUAAAAAAACAAUUUUAAAAAAGAAAGACGAUAAGACCCUAUCGAACUUCACUUCAGUUUAACUGGGGCAGUUAAUUAAUUAAUACUUUAAUAUAAUUAUAUAUAAAACUUGACCUAAUAUAAUUAAAAAUAUAAUUAAGUUACCGUAGGGAUAACAGCGUAAUAAAAUUUUUAAGACCUUAUUUAAAAUAAAGAUUGCGACCUCGAUGUUGAUUUAAUAUCCUAAUUUACGCAAUAGUUAAUCAAGGAAGUCUGUUCGACUUUUAAAAAAUUACAUGAUUUGAGUUCAGACCGGUGUAAACCAGGUCGGUUUCUAUCUUCUAAAAAAAUUCUUCUAGUACGAAAGGACCUAAGAAAAUAAUAAUAUU